rnacentral:rRNA from 1 species
UCUAGUAGCUAGGUUCCCUCCGGAAGGUUUCCCUACGAGGAUAGCGGUGGCGACUCAAAAGGGAAUCUCAUCUGGUAAAGCCAAUGACUAGAGGCAUUGGGGCCGAAUCGGCCUUGACCUAUUAUCAAACUGUAAAUGGGUGAAAACUUUUAGAGCCUACCCAACAUAGACUUUUAAGUCUCGAGGCUCAAGAAUUUCUUGAAAACUAGAUAUAGAGAUCCGAGUGCCCAGUGGGCCGUUUCUGGUAAGCAGAACUGGUGCUGCGGGAUGAACCGAACGCGGAGUUAAGGCGCCUAAGUGGGAGCUGAUCUUGUCCCCUCAAAGGGGGCCUGUCGCUAGAGACAGCAGGUCGGUGGUCAUGGAAGUCGACAUCCGCUAAGGAGUGUGUAACAACUCACCUGCCGAAGUGACUGAUGUUGAAAAUGGAUGGCGCUAGAGCUCCCCGCCUAUACUCCGCCGUCGGCGGCAGUGAUCGCGGCGUUCCUUUUAAGGGCGCCACGCUGAAGCCCCGACGAGUAGGAGGGUCGCCGCGGUGGCGUAGAAGGGUGAGGCGUGAGCCGACCUGGAGCCUCCGUGGGUGCAGAUCUUGGUGGUAGUAGCAAUUACUCUAAAGAGACACCUGGAGGGCGGCGGAGAUGGGUUUCGUGACAACAGCAGUUGGACACGAGUUAAUCGAUCCUAAGCAGCGAGGGAAACCUCUUUCACUGUGAGUCCCCUAAAAAGGACAAUGAACACUUUAUUGCUGCGAAAGGGAAUCAGGUCAAUAUUCCUGAAUCUGGUGGCGGCAGACGCAGACCAAAAAGUGCCCUAUUUGGAGCAACUUCUUUAGUUUGCUCAUUUCCUGGCAACAGGAGUCAACCCGGGGACGCCGCAGGGAGGCCAAGGAAGAGUUAUCUUUUCUUGUUAAGUGCUUGUGGACCCUGUAAGUCUUUCUAUGAGAGAUUGGGUAUGAAGCACGAAAGAGCGCCGCAGCUGUGUGGUGUCUUGGUUCUCCUUCUGGCCCUUGAAAACCCGGGUGAGGUGCUAUGCGUGCUGUUCGCACGUGGUCGUACCAGAUCCGCAUCAGGCCUCCAUGGUGCAAAGCCUCUUGUCGAUAGAUUAAUGUGGGUAAGGGAAGUCGGCAAGUUUGAUCCGUAACUUAGGGAGAAGGAUUGGCUCUGAGGAGCUCGAUCCGUCGGGCCUGGUCGUGCAGCGGUUAUUCUCCCUGGAUGGUUAGGCUCCCGUCUAUUAGGCGAACGUGCGCUCUCGGUAUUAUGCCGUUUGCGUUUAGUAGUCGAGGGGCGGUCCUGGCGUCCUGUGGGGCUACCGCAAAAACCUCCAUGCAAGCCGAGGGCAACUGCGGGCUUCAUAUGCAGCAUUUAGGUCGAAAGGUCUGGUGUUGCGAAGUUUGCUUUACCUCUCCGGCGAUCAAUGAAAGCUUAACUCAGAACUGGCACGGACCAAGGGAAUCCGACUGUCUAAUUAAAACAAAGCAUCGCGAUGGUCCUCAAUGGAUGUUGACGCGAUGUGAUUUCUGCCCAGUGCUCUGAAUGUCAAUGUGAAGAGAUUCAAACAAGCGCGAGUAAACGGCGGGAGUAACUAUGACUCUCUUAAGGUAGCCAAAUGCCUCGUCAUCUAAUUAGUGACGUGCAUGAAUGGAUUAACGAGAUUCCCACUGUCCCUAUCUACUAUCUAGCGAACCCACAGCCAAGGGAACGGGCUUGGGAAAAGUCAACGGGGAAAGAAGACCCUGUUGAGCUUGACUCUAGUUUGGCACUGUUUGGAGUCAUGUUGAGGUGUAGCAUAGGUGGGAGACGAUUUUAUCGUCGACAAUGAAAUACCACCACUCUCAUGUAUCCUUACUUACUCAAUGAAGCGGAAACCGUGCAGUUCGACUAGUUCGGCUGUCACGCGUUCUCGCGCAAAACUUAUCGGGUUUUCUGUGAACUAGCGGGCCAGUCUGGUAUCUCCUAGUUGGGCGCCAGCUGCCGCGACGGGAUCGGAUAUUUAUAACCCUGAGUGAUCCGAUUUGAGGACACUGUCAGAUAGGGAGUUUGACUGGGGCGGUACAUCUGUUAAACAAUAACGCAGGUGUCCUAAGGCUGGCUCAGCGAGGUCAGAAACCUCGUGUAGAGCAAAAGGGCAAAUGCCAGCCUGAAUCUCAUGUCUAUUAUGCAUGAGACCUGCUAACGCAGGGCCUAGCGAUCCUCUUUGCUGAGGAGCUUUCGGCUUAGAGGUGACAGAAAAGUUACCACAGGGAUAACUGGCUUGUGGCAGCCAAGCGUUCAUAGCGACGUUGCUUUUUGAUCCUUCGAUGUCGGCUCUUCCUAUCAUUGCGAAGCAAGUUUCGCCAAGUGUUGGAUUGUUCACCCUUAGACAGGGAACGUGAGCUGGGUUUAGACCGUCGUGAGACAGGUUAGUUUUACCCUAUUGACUAAACAGUCGUGGUGACAGUAAUUCUGGCAAGUACGAGAGGAACGUCAGUACCGGACCUCUGGAGCAGCAACAGGCCGAUCGGCCUUGUUGUGAGUCUACGUCCGCGCGGUUACUGCUGGAGGCCUCUAAAGGCGGUACCGCUGCUGGAAAUCCACGAUAAAACUCUAGGGGCCCCUCUAGAAAGGCUAAGCGAUCUUUUCAGCCCGGCAUCCUUAACUGGGUGUCGGACCAAUGCCAUGUUUUGCCGAAUGCGGAGCGGUCUAGUAGUUCCGAAAGGUCUGCUAGCGGCACCGAUAGCGGUCAAGAUAAUGGUUCUGGGUGUAAAAGCCCGGCAUUUUCGUUGAUGGGGCCUAAUUGAUCCGUUUGUAAACGACUUAAGUAUCUGGCAGGGGGCUGUAACGGGCAGAGCACAC